CAACGAGAGACGCUGGCCGGCAGGGGGCUGAGGCUGAGGCAGAGGCAGCGGCUGUUGCAGGUCGGGAGCGGGGAGAACGCACAUGUGCUUUGCAGCCUUCCUCUCCCCUCCCCCCAGCACUCACCUGGAGGAGACACCAAGGGGGCUUCCGGUUCAGUGGGAGACAGGAAUCUCUGCAGUGUGGACCUCACUCACCUGAGCAGCUGCUGGGGCUCCGGGUAUGCUGCAACAGUUCAACAAGGGAAUGUACCACAUUAAGGCAACAGAGACCACGGAGGAUGGAAAGAGCGAGGAUGGCCUUUUUUUAAUAAUGUCAAAAUGAAACGGCAUGCUGGGAUAUGGCUGAAGAAGUGGACAGAGUGGAAGGUAACCUAAAUGCAGAGGAUUCAUGGCCACAUGGACGUCACAAGUAAUGGAUCUUCCCUCCUCAGAAAGCCAGGAUCUUUUCAUCACCCUGGAGCCAAUACCGUCUCAAGGUGGGAACCUGGACCCUGAAGCUGGAGAAGGCAUCUCUGGUG